UCUCUUUUCAGAUCCGUUUUCAAAUUCAGAAGCUGAUGAAUUACGACAGUACAGUUUUUGCAAAGAAAAUCAUCGUAAACUUUCAUUCAAGCUAUCAAAGUCUUCUGAACAGAAAAUAGAUCGAAUGUGUAAAUAUAUACUAAACAUUUAUAUACCGCCAGGAUUUAUGCCGGAUUUCGUUGUACCCAGAACAGAACAACAAAACAAACAAUGGAAAGGACAGUACCUGAAAGUAGACAUUUCUGUGACCUUUGUAUAUCCAUCAUAGUUUCUUUGUAUCCAUUUAGGUAUAGUCACAAAUAUCCACUGCUGACCAUGACAUUCAAUCCUUUCAUUUCACCCGAGGCAUCCAAUUUCAUCAUCAUUGUCUUUGUCGUUUGGUACAUUUUCUUUAAAUUCAUAGCUUGAUGAUCACAACUACUGUCUUUGGUGUAUUGUUGUAAUUUGAUCAGAAAUAGAGGUAUUUCCUCGAGGCAUGUCAUCUUGGUAACAGAAUAUUUUAUAAAUCAAUAUUUCAUAGCAAUGUUCAGUAAUGAUCUGUAAAACAAAGCAAAAAAUCUAUAAUUAAUUCAGAUAUAAAACUUUUGCUACAAAGAAACAAAUUAAACC
rnacentral:lncRNA from 1 species